rnacentral:tRNA from 1 species
GAGGGGAUAGCUCAGUGGCAGAGUGCGUGCUUAGCAUGCACGAGGUCCUGGGUUCCAUCCCCAGUGCCCCCA